GAUGAACGCUGGCGGCGUGCCUAAUACAUGCAAGUCGAGCGAACGGACGAGAAGCUUGCUUCUCUGAUGUUAGCGGCGGACGGGUGAGUAACACGUGGAUAACCUACCUAUAAGACUGGGAUAACUUCGGGGAACCGUAGCUAAUACCGGAUAAUAUUUUGAACCGCAUGGUUCAAAAGUGAAAGACGGUCUUGCUGUCACUUAUAGAUGGAUCCGCGCUGCAUUAGCUAGUUGGUAAGGUAACGGCUUACCAAGGCAACGAUGCAUAGCCGACCUGAGAGGGGGAUCGGCCACACUGGAACGGAGAACCGGUCCAGACUCCUACGGGAGGAAGCAGUAGGGAAUCUUCCGCAAUGGGCGAAAGCCGGACGGAGCAACGCCGCGUGAGUGAUGAAGGUCUUCGGAUCGUAAAACUCUGUUAUUAGGGAAGAACAUAUGUGUAAGUAACUGUGCACAUCUUGACGGUACCUAAUCAGAAAGCCACGGCUAACUACGUG
rnacentral:rRNA from 1 species